rnacentral:tRNA from 2 species
GCGCCCGUAGCUCAAUGGAUAGAGCGCAUCCCUGCGGAGGAUGAAAUCGAGGUUCGAUUCCCCGCGGGCGCA